GAAAUUAUAAAUUCAUUUUGAUUUGUUGCUUAUUUUUUUUAUUUUUUUUUGGUGCAAUUUUAAAAAUAAAUAGAAGGUGCAUUUAAAUUGAUGUUUAUGUAUUAGUUGUGAUUUUGUUCAUUUGCGAAGUACAUGUGUAUAUGUAUUUUGUUCAUUGUUGUUAUUUGAAGUCCUAUUUAUCACACAAUACCAUUUAGUGGGGAGGGUAGGGACCCUCAGGAAUUCCCCAAACAACCAACACAUUUUCUUUGGGGAAAAAAUUUUGCAUUCAUCAAAUGGACCAGAAACCGUAAACGACUUUUGUUGAAAAAUAAAAAUUCACUCUCCCCACUCAACAUUUGCUUGAAUGGAUUAACUCUUAUAAAAGUUUUUGUCACCUGCACAUAGUUUUAUGAUCAAUUAUUAUUCUAUUUUUGUGACAAUCAUUCUGUGAUUCUACAGGACUUCUACAUUCAAAUCAAAUCAUGAAUUCAAUUAUUAAUGUUAAAAAUUAAAAACAUAAAUCAAGAAGAUGAAGAAAACAAAAUGUGCAUUUAAUGGAUAGAUACCAUGUUCUGAUUUAAAAAAAAAAAAAA
rnacentral:lncRNA from 1 species